rnacentral:other from 1 species
CGCUCUCUGUGGUGUUCGUCAGCGGGCUCAGUCACCGCUUGAGCCUAAUUUCAUACCCUCGGGAAUGGACCACGUCGUUGUUGUGCAAGUCCGCAGACAGUCCAGCGGAAAGCCUGAUACGGCGUACAAAAUUCCCUAAUGAACCAACCUGGUUCAAGGGGUCAAGGCCGGCAACGGCAUAACGGAGGGCGA